ACGUAGUCCAUGCAUAAAUCAUUUUGAGGAAAUCAGCUUUAUCUUAAGACAGAAACAACUCUGAUUUCGGCAAUGAAUGUAUUUAAUAUUGAAAGAUUUAAGUAACACUUAAAACAAUAUUACCGGAGGUAGAAUUCUGGAACCACCAACUUUUUGUUAAGGGCAUGCUAUACAAUGGAACGUUUCGAAGCAGUUCUAUAAUAGGAAAAAAAGUUUCACAUCUGUGGACGGACAGUUAGGGGAGGUAACUAUAGUCACGGAUUGGGACUAUUUUGGUACUCCUCGUUUAAAUGGGCCAACAGUGUUGUUGUACAUACAAAAAAAGACUGACCCGGUUUAUAUGUUGGUCAGGGCUACGGAUAUGUAUUGCAUUUUGUCAUCUAAAUAUUUCUAUAAAAUGCUUCUUCCCCUCCAGUUUGUAGCCGUCCAUGUUUACAAAAACGUUUGUCUAUUUUAUGAGGAGUAUUUGGUUAAAGCGUCGGUAGCUCAAGAAUUCAACGCUAACUUGUGUAAUAUCAACAUGAUGGUGGAUAUCAGAAACACAAACAUCAUCCGAUGUGAAAUUU